rnacentral:lncRNA from 1 species
UCCCUCUUCCUUUCCCUAUAUUGCUCCACUAGUCUCCGCACCAGGUGAAUUGUCUCUGUCAUCGAGCGACCGGGCAUAAAUCCAAACUGAUUUUCCGAAAUAAACACUAUCCUCCUCAACCUCCGCCCGACCAAUCUCUCCCAAAUCUUCAUAGUGUGAAUCAACAACUUAAUACCCUAUAGUUGUUACAACUCUGGAUGUCACCCUUGUUCUUCUAUAAAGGAAUUAUAGUACUCCAUCUCCAGGCCUCAGGCAUUUUCGCAGACUUGAAAAUGUUGUUAAACAAUACAUUCAACCACCUUAAACUAGCCCCGCAGUAUACUUCCAAAAAUUCACUAGAAUCUCAUCAAACCCCAUCACCCUACCCCUUCGCAACCUCCGAAUAGCCUCUCUGACCUCCUCAACCAUACAACGUCUACAAUAACUGAAAUCACGACACUCCUCCGAGUGCUCCAGCUCCCCUAACACAAUGUCUUUGUCCCCUACACUCUUAGGUGCUCAUUGAAUAUUUCUUUGUUUUUUACACGAAUGCCAGGCUGUUAAGCUCACCUUUGUGCCACAUGCGAUGAAGCUAAACCGCUAUGACUAGCCCAAAGAAGCUUCCUCCAAAUAGAGUAUUAUAUUAUCUUAAUAAAAAUCCAAAGUAGCAAACACUAAACUGGAGCAACAAGCUACCACCUAACUCCUCAAUCAG